GUUCUGGUAGCUUACUUAAAGCAUUGCUCUUGUAAACCAAAGUCGGGCUUUCACCCCCAGAACA
rnacentral:tRNA from 1 species